UACGUAGGGUCCGAGCGUUGUCCGGAAUUACUGGGCGUAAAGAGCUCGUAGGUGGUUUGUCGCGUUGUCCGUGAAAACUCACAGCUCAACUGUGGGCGUGCGGGCGAUACGGGCAGACUGGAGUACUGCAGGGGAGACUGGAAUUCCUGGUGUAGCGGUGGAAUGCGCAGAUAUCAGGAGGAACACCAGUGGCGAAGGCGGGUCUCUGGGCAGUAACUGACGCUGAGGAGCGAAAGCGUGGGGAGCGAACAGG
rnacentral:rRNA from 1 species